rnacentral:rRNA from 1 species
UACGGAAGGGGCAAGCGUUGUUCGGAAUCAUUGGGCGUAAAGGGCGCGUAGGUGGUUCUGUAUGUCUACCGUGAAAGCAUACAGCUCAACUGUAUUUUGUCGGUAGAAACUGCAGGACUUGAGGCUGGGAGGGGCUGGUGGAAUUCCCUGUGUAGCGGUGAAAUGCGUAGAGAUGGGGGAGAACACUCGUGGCGAAGGCGGCUCUCUAUCUCGAUUCUGACGCUGAGGCGCGAAAGCUAGGGGGAGCAAACGGG